AAUAAGAAAACUUAAACGAAUAUUAUGGAAUUAUUCAUCUCAAUGAAUAUCGCCGGAGAGAAGAAGAAGGAUAGUUAGGUCAAAUUACUCCUAAAUACUCGUCGUGGGGAACUUUGUUCUUCUUCCAUUCGCAGCUUCUCGUUCCCCAUCAAAGCAGGACAACCUAACCCUAGAUUUCGUGAACCUAUAGCUACCAUGGCCGGCGAUUCUCAAGAUAGCUCCCGUCGCAAGCACCGCCGUCUUACCGAUGACGAGUCUGAAGAUUCCUCCAAGCGCCGCAAGCACCGCCACCAUCAUCGUCGUCACCGCGACCAUCGUCACAGCAGCCGAAAACGUGAAGGAGAGGAUGAUAUCUCGAACGAGAAAGAACACAAAUUAGAAGCCGAAAUUAUGACUACUCUUCCAACUGGUGGCAUGGAUUACGAUAUGGAGGAAGGAGAGAUUGUUGAUGAUGUCGGUGCCUUGAAGGUGCGAUUGGAUUCUGAUGUUGAUUACGGUGAAAUUAAGGUUGCUGAAGUGCUUGCUAAAUCCGAGAAUCUUACAAACACGGGAGUUAAUGGAGCUAACACGGAGCUUGCAGAAAACAUAGUAAAAGAUGGUCUUCAUUUGAAGGGAUCACAAGAAGCCAAGAAUAACAAUGAGUUGCUUGUUGGCUUCAAUAUAGAUGUCAAAGUGAAAGCAGCUGAUGGAAGUACUGCUCUAAAUAAGAUUCAUGAACAUUAUAUGAAUGGUGACACCGGAUUGGAAUCUGUUAAAGAGAGUUAUGUGACAUCUGCAGAACCUCAGUCUCCUGUCAAAACUCGUAAUAAGAGAAAGAAAUAUUACAGGAGUGAGGAUGAUUUUAGUAAUCAUAGUAAAUCAAUGUCUUCUGAGUCCUCUCCGUGUGAGGAAAGGCAUAGAAGGGAUAAGCCUAGGUCUCAUGAUGGGUGCAGGGAAAGAUCUUGGUCGCAUGGCAACGUUGAUCAGGCUUCCAUUCCAGUAGCUGCCCAAGAUAGAAAGAACACAUCCAGCGAUUCAGAGGAUAAUGAUAACAUCUCUGAAAGAGGCAAGGGUACCAGGCAUCAUAGUAGAGAUAUAUUCAAGGAUAAAGAAAGGGAAAGAAGUUCUAGUUAUAGCUUGUAUCCUCGACGAUCAGAUAGGCAUCUUAGCCAUGAGGAUUCUGAUUGGGAAAGGGAGGGGAGUUGGGAUGGACAAGACAGGGACAAGGAAGGGAAAGAUAUGGGCAGGGAUAGAAGACAUGAAAGAAAUAAGGAGAGGGGCAAGGAAAAGGAGGAAAGAGAGAGAUAUAGAGAAAGGCAGAGGGAAAAAGAAAGCGAUAGAAGACAGGAACGACAUAAGGAGAGGGACAAGGGAAAGUUGGAAAGAGAUAGAGCGAGGCAGCGGGAAAAAGAAAGGGAGAGAGAAAGGGACGAAUGUGAGAGAAAGCGGCAAAGGGAUAGUGAGUGGGAGAGGGAAAGAGAAGAUAGGGAGUGGAGAAGGGAAAGGGAAGAUAGGGACCAUAAGAGUGAGAGGGAGUGGCAGACGGGAAGGGAUAAAUCUGGAGUCAAUGAAAGGGAUAGAGAGGCUGAUAGGAAUAGCAGACAUCAUAAGAAUGAAAAAGUUAAUCAAGUUGACAGAAAUAGGAAAUCUGACUCCAAGCAUAGGCAACUUGAUGAAAAACAACAAAGUGAUAAAGAUGAGGAGAACAGGAGAGAGGAAAAUGAGACGGAGGAUUAUGAAGAAAAAUUUGCCUUGCAACUUGUAGAUCAGGAAGAGGAGGAUCUUAAAAGAAUUAAAGAGGAGAGCAGAAGGCGAAUGCAGGCAAUCCUUGAAAAAUAUAAAGCUAAACCAUCAGUGGAAAUGGACAAACCUCAGUCUGAGGAUUCCGAAAAGGAACACGCUGCAUGCUUCCCUGUGGAUGCUGCUGGUGACCGGACUGUACUGGAAACUUCAGAUGGCAGGGUUGAAGGAGUUUAUAACAAUGUUGAUGGACCUUCAUUGGAUGUUGGCAAAUCUCCACUCCUGAAUGAGGUUUCUACUGUUCAAAAAACUUCUGGUGCUGGGGCUCUGGGAGAAGGUUCUCCAAAGAGUGAGAGAUCACAUGAAAGCUUUUGUGAUGAUAUAUUUGGGGAUUCACCAGCUGGAGUACGUAAAACAGCCAGGGGAGAUGGUAUAGCUGUUGAAAGGAGUGACCUUCAUGAUAACUGGGAUGAUGCAGAUGGAUAUUAUAGUUACCGAGUUGGAGAGCUACUAGAUGGUCGGUAUGAAGUUUCAGCUACUCAUGGGAGAGGUGUCUUCUCUACAGUAGUUCGUGCAAGGGAUCUUAGGGCUGGACCUGGUGAUCCUGAAGAAGUGGCAAUAAAAAUUUUACGCAAUAGAGAAGCAAUGCACAAGGCUGGUAAAGAGGAGCUCAUCAUACUAAACAAAUUAGUUGGUGCUGACCCGGAGAACAGGAGACAUUGUGUCCGUUAUCUUUCUUCUUUUAAAUAUCGGAAUCAUCUUUGUUUAGUUUUUGAAUCUCUUCAUAUGAAUCUGCGUGAAGUCCUAAAGAAGUUUGGUCGCAACAUUGGGCUUAAACUCACUGCUGUUAGAGCAUAUUCUAAGCAACUCUUUAUUGCACUGAAGCAUCUCAAGAACUGUGGCGUUCUUCAUUGUGAUAUAAAGCCUGAUAACAUGCUGGUCAAUGAAGCAAAAAAUGUUCUAAAGCUUUGUGAUUUUGGUAAUGCUAUGUUUGCUGGAAAAAAUGAGAUUACACCUUAUCUUGUGAGCCGUUUCUAUCGGUCCCCUGAAAUAAUUUUGGGUUUGCCUUAUGAUCAUCCUAUGGAUAUGUGGUCUGUUGGAUGCUGUUUAUUUGAGCUUUACAGUGGCAAGGUACUUUUCCCUGGUUCUACUAACAAUGACAUGCUUCGCCUUCAUAUGGAAUUGAAAGGUCCAUUCCCGAAGAAGAUGCUUAAAAAGGGAGGUUUCACUGAGCAACACUUUGACCAGGACUUAAAUUUCCUUGCAAUCGAAGAGGAUCCUGUUACUAAGAAGACAAUGAGGAGGUUGAUUCCCCCUAGCAUGAAGCUGAAAGAUAUAGGCACAAUUGUUUGUGGCUCGCCUGGUGAGGAUCCAAAGAUGCUUGCGAAUUUCAAAGACCUUCUGGAAAAGAUGUUUGUAUUGGAUCCAGAAAAAAGAUUGACUGUAGCACAGGCCUUGAGCCACCCAUUUAUCACGGGCAACAAUGUGUAUGGCAUGGUGGAUGUGUCGGACUCUCAUCCUUGCAGGGGUCGUUUCGAUGGAAUGUUUUCUGUUCUAUUGAGAUCUUUCCUUGUGCCAGUGAGUGCAAUGAGGCAACCAUGCAGUGCUUUAGAUGCAUUGAAAAGACACUCUGGAGAAGGUACCAUUGAUUUGUUUGUUAGGAACAUAUCAAGAUACCUAUUGUUUGUCUUUCCCUUGCAAGUCUUUUUAUAUGAAGUUUUAUUAUUAUUACCAUGUAGAGGAAAUUUGGCCACUGAUUGAUUAUUUCAUAACACAUCCAUUUAUGUAGUUCUAGGAUUUGAUUUUGUAUGUGGAGAUCUAUGCUUAUUUAUUGUAUAUGAAUGACAUAUUUGUAACAACCUAAUGACAUUGCAUUACAUCUGAUCCAUGAAUUGUUCCUGAGAAGGAGUUUACCUGAGAAGUUGCAGUUCUGAAGUGAAGUACUUUCUGUACGAUUCUUCGGCAUUGCUUGUAAGUAUAUGCUGGUAAGUAUAUCUAACCUUAAAAUCAUCUUUGUCCCAAAAAUAAUCCUAUUGAAUUUGCAUAAAAUUGCUUGGGGCUGAUAGUAAGUAAUCAAAAAGAGAAAGCUUCUAGAAUAUCUUUGGAAAUUCCAGGUGAUUUCCUUCUUGCAUAUUUUCAAACCAACCAUUUAGGGCAUUGUGUUUUCAUGGAGAGACACGUUAUCAGCUGCUAUUUUUGUUGUUUAACAUUAUUGACAAAUGAGUCUGUUUCUUGUUUCUUGUUUCACACCUAAUGCACGCAAUGUUUUAUUUUAAUCAUCUUUCUUAUGUAAUUAUUAUUAAAAAUGGCUUGAUUUUGACUUAAGAUAUAUAUAUAUAUAUAUAUAUAAAACAUUAAAUAAAAAACGGAAUGAAGAAAAUCAUAACAUGUGAAGUAGGUGAGAAAAUCAGUGUUAAAAAUUAAAUUUUCUUUCUAUUAUAAACAAUUUAUGUUGUAUAAGUAGUCAAAUAUUGUAACAACCCACAUCAAAUAUUAAAUUUAUUUUUUACUUUCA